UGAGGAAUAUUGCACAAUGGGCGCAAGCCUGAUGCAGCAACGCCGCGUGCGGGACGAAGGCCUUCGGGUCGUAAACCGCUUUUCUGGGGGAAGAGCAAGGACGGUACCUCAGGAAUAAGUCUCGGCUAACUACGUGCCAGCAGCCGCGGUAAAACGUAGGAGGCGAGCGUUAUCCGGAUUUACCGGGCGUAAAGCGCACGCAGGCGGCUCUGUUAGUCGGACGUGAAAGCUCUCGGCUUAACCGGGAGAGGCCGUUCGAUACUGCGGGGCUGGAGGGAGGGAGAGGAAUGCGGAAUUCCCGGUGUAGUGGUGGAAUGCGUAGAUAUCGGGAGGAACACCUGUGGCGAAAGCGGCAUUCUGGCCCUCACCUGACGCUGAGGUGCGAAAGCGUGGGUAGCAAACA
rnacentral:rRNA from 1 species